AUGCAGCGAGUUCAUAAGUGGAUCGCACUGGGCGCCGAUGUAGUAAAAAUUAAUGUUGACGGGGCCAUAUCCCGCAACGGCAAGACAGGGCCGGCUGCAGUGAUUUGCAGGGACAAAGAUGGCAACUAUUUGGGCGCAUCAGCAGUCACCAUUGAAGGCCUGGUCGAUCCAACAAGUCUUGAAGCACAUGCAUGUAGCGAGGCUCUUGCUCUGGCGCGAGACUUAAACGUCACACAUGCGAUCAUAGCCUCAGAUUGCAUGCAAGUAGUGCCGAAUAUCCAUGGGAGGACACUAUCUUCAUAUUCUUUGGUUAUAGAUGAAAUAAAGGAGUCUAUGAAUGACUUUGUAAACAUUAGUUUUCGUUAUGAGUGUAGGGAAGCAAACUUGGAAGCUCACGCCAUUGCUAAGACGGCUUCAGCGUUUCCCUCUGGUCGCCGUUUGUGGCUAGGGACCUUACCAGACAUUGCCUGUAUCGCUCCGGCUUUGAACCUUGAAUAA
rnacentral:rRNA from 1 species